GUGCUCAUUUUGGCAGCACAUACACUAAAGUUGCAAUGAUACAGAGAAGAUUGGUAUGGCAUCUAGGCAAGGAUGACAUGCAAAGUGGUGAAGUGUUCCUUUAUUUA
rfam:Chlorocebus sabaeus isolate 1994-021 chromosome 25, whole genome shotgun sequence.